rnacentral:lncRNA from 1 species
AUGCUAUGUGUCUUUCUCUUUCUUGUUUUUCAUGCAGUCUUCCAUCGUCUUCCUCUAUUCCGACCCCAGGUGUGGCUUCAUGUGCUGGAACAUCGCUCCUGUCUGGAAGUGCUCCUGCACGUUGGUGAGGACUCCCUUCCGGCCCUCGGCUGGCCUUCAUCACCUCACACCUGGAUGACCGCAACAGCUGGCCUGCCUUGGGCUAGCCUUUCUCUGCUCCAGCCUCUCCAGCUGCCAGGACCCAUCUUCUGCAAAUACCUUUGGCAUCACAUCACUUCCCUGCUCAGACCUAUUAGAUCCUAGCUCCAUUCAUCUGGCUGGGAGCCAGCCAAUUGGCCUCCCAUUCUUCCUCUUCCCUCCUUUCAAGUUCACUCCCAUCCAGCCAGCCUCAUAGGUUGCUUUAAAUCUUCUGUUAGCCCCUCUGCUAGUUUGGGUGGUCUCCUUUCCACCUCCUCCCGCCCUCCCUCCAGAAUACUUCUGGUGACUUUGGGGGAGUCAUGCAAACUGUCGAGCUUCUCCAGCCUCUUUCUCAAUGCAUUUGCCUCCCCUGCCCGCAUCGCGGCUCCACCAUUCACCUGCUAGAGGCCUUCAGGCAAGUUGCUUCACCUCUCGGUGCCUCAGUGUUCUCAUUUUUUUCAUCCAUAAAAUGGGGAUCUUAAUGGUACAUCCUCAUCAGUUCGUGGAGAAGAUUAAAAGAGGUGAUAGUGGAGUUCCCAUUGUGGCGCAGUGGAAACAUAUCUGACUAGUCUCCAUGAGGACGCAGGUUCGAUUCCCUGGCCUCGCUCAGUGGGCUAAGGAUCUGGCAUUGCUGUGAGCUGUGGUGUAGGUCACAGACGCGACUCGGAUCCCCCGUUACUGUGGCUGUGACGUAGGCCGGUGGCUACAGCUCCAAUUUGACCCCUCACCUGGGAACUUCCAUAUGCUGCAGGUGGGGCCCUGAAAAAAAAAAAAAAAAAAAAAAAGGAGAUAGCUGUAAAAGGACCUAGAACAAUAUUCGGCACAAAGUAACUGCCAUGGACACAUCAGCUAUUAUUACUUUUUUUUUUUUGUCUUUUGUCUUUUUAGGGCUGUACCCAUGGCAUAUGGAAGUUCCCAGGCUAGGGGUCUAAUCGGAGCUGUAGCCUACACUAGAGUCACAGCAACGCCAGAUCUGAGCCGCGUCUGUGACCUACACCAGAGCUCACCACCAUGCCGGAUCCUUAACCCACUGAGUGAGCCCAGGGAUCGGACCCGCAACCUCAUGGUUCCUAGUUGGAUUCAUUAACCACUGAGCCACAAUGGGUACUCCAGCUAUUAUUACUUAACCAUUGUUAUUAUGGCGCCUUCUAGCCAGCUCUUCCCUGGACACCACUUCCACUUGGAAGAGCUAACUGGUGGAGCUGUCUGUCAAAAAAAAAAAAAAAAUGAGUCCAGGAAAAACAAAUUUCAUAAAUAGAUUCUGCUAAAUCUAAGACUGUUGAAGUCUUCCAAUUGGUGAAUAUUAUUUUAUUCACCAAGAGUGCGGAGCUGGUUCAUUGUUAAGUAUCUGAGACAACUUGAGGAACUGGGCUGUCUACAAAGCACUACUUACAUCCAUUAAUUUCUAACCAACCAGGAGGAGGGCAUGUGAGAUUUAAAAUCAGGAUUUUUCCGGGAUGAAUAGGAUGGUGUGGGGACAACGUCAAAACACCCUAAGGGACCAAUGCGUUGUGCAUGUUAUUUCCCAUGGUCUUUCUAGAAUCCUUCUCACUAUGCCCUAAGUCCCAAUGGCCCUGCUUCCACAUCUGCUCACUCCCUGUGUUCCUCCUUGGAGCCUAAUUGGAAUUGCUUUUCUCUCUGGGAGUUCCCAGCCUGAGAGCCCUGCACCUUGCACCUCUACCAUCAUUGCUGUAAAUAAUCUACCAUCUUCAUCUUUGUUCUUCUUUUCAAAUCCACCUCUAUGGUUUUGUGGCGAAUACAACGCAUUCCUUUAAAAUCGCUGGUGAAUUCACAGUCACUGUUUAUCAUUGUAUGUUCUCUUGCUCUCGCUCAAUGAAUUCGGUCCUACCUCAGAGAUACCAGGUUCGGUGCCAGACCAUGGCCAUAAAGUGAACAUCUCAACAAAACAAGUCACGUGACUUUUUUUGGGGCUUCCCAGUGCCUACCAAAGUUAUGCUUACCUUAUACUGUAGCCUAUUAGGUGUGCAAUAGCAUUAUGCCUGAAAAAACAAUGUACAGACCUUAUUUAGAAAAUACUUGGAAUUCCUGUCGUGGCUCAGCAGAAACGAAUCUCCCUAGCAUCCACGAGGACGCAGGUUUGAUCCCUGGCCUCGCUCAGUGGGUUAAGGAUCUGGCAUUGCCAUGAGCUGUGGUGUAGGUUGCAGACAGGGCUUGGAUCCCUAGUUGCUGUGACUGUGGUGUAGGAUGGCAGCUUUAACUCUGACUUGACUCCUAGUCUGGGAACCUCCAUGUGCCGAGAGUAUGACCCUUAAAAAAGACCCGAAAAAGAAAAAGAAAAUACUCGGAGUUCCCAUCGUGGCUCAGUGGUUAACGAAUCCGACUAGGAACCAUGAGGUUGUGGGUUCUAUCCCUGGCUUUGCUCAGUGGGUUAAGGAUCCGGCGUUGCCAUGAGCUGUGGUGUGGGUCGCAGACGCGGCUUGGAUCCCGUGUUGCUGUGGCUCUGGCAUAGGCCGACGGCUACAGCUCUGGACCCCUAGCCUGGGAACCUCCAUAUGCUGCAGGAGCAGCCCAAGAAAUGGCAAAAAGACAAAAAAAAAAAAAAAAAAAAGAAGAAGAAGAAGAAAAUACUCGAUUGUGAAAAAAUUCUAGCCUUCAUCAAGUUAUAACAUCAAAGAUGACUGAUCACAGGUCACCGUAACAAAUAUAACAAAUGAAGAAAUUUAAAAUAUUGAAAGAAAAACCACCAUGUGACACGGAGACACGAAGUGAGCAAAUGCUGUUGGGAAAAUGACACUGAUAGGUUUGUUCGAUGCAGAGGUAGCCAGAAAACUUUAAUUUGAAAACAAAAAGCACGGAGUAUCCAUGAAGCGCAAUAAAGCGAGGUAUAUCUGUACUAAAAGUUCA